rnacentral:rRNA from 1 species
CCCUAUGGGGUGCUCUUUCGCAAACUCCACCAUGUCUGGAAAAACCCUCUGCUAAAAGCCGCGCAGAUACCGGGGUCUUUGGAUGAUCUCAAGAAUGUACAGGAGCAGGGCUAUCGCCAGAUUUUACUCAAUAAGAACCCGGAAUACCAGCGCGAGAGGGGAAUUGCCAUUAUCAACGCCAGGGACGUAGCCCGCCCCGAGGACCUGCGCAACCCCAAGACCUCCUGCCUCAUCAAAAUGACCAGGCCCUGUUUCGCAUCAUUCAAGCAGGCAUUUCUGGACCCGGAAUCGCGAGUGCGCCUGAAUUCGGAUGUUCCGGAGAAGUACUACUCCCGGAUCGAAUCCUUGAGAUUCACCGGUGGUUACUUGGAUGGCCUCGAAAUCGAAUUCUCCGAGCAUCUCAACGCGGUCAUUGGCGGGAGAGC